rnacentral:tRNA from 1 species
AAAGAAUUAGUUAACUUAUAACAUUAAAAUGUCAAUUUAAAAUUAUUCCUUAAAAAAUAUUCUUUC